ensembl:lncRNA HTT-AS HTT antisense RNA
AGCAAGGCCGCUGACAGCGCAGCGCCCCACCCGGGCGAAGGCGCGGGGCUCAACGGAGAGGGGACGGGGCGUGGUGAGACUGUAAUGGGCAAUGAACAUGAACUAUUCAGGGGAAGAUUGUUAAAUGAAAGAAUCUCACUGGGCGGGGAGCUAAGCAUGACACCUGGCCACCUGCCUGUGCCUGUCCUGCCGAGAAGAGAGAAGAGGCCUUGAAAGCAGCCAGAGGGGGUGCACACCAGCCUGGGCAGGGGGCAGUAAGCGGGAGCAGCCCCGACCCGAGACCAGCAGCCCCUCUCUUCACCUCCAAGCCGGAGCGUGGCCUCAUCCCUCCCAGGUGACUCUCUUCCCAGAAAUGGUGCUGUCUCAAGAAGCCCCCUCUCUCCAAGCAUCUGCCAGGCCGUUUGAGCUGCCAGGAGUCUUUGUCCUGCCCCACCAGCUCUGUCUCAUCUAGAUGGGGCCUUCUGUCCAGUGCUACUGAACAGAAUGUUCUGCAUGCCUGGCCAGUGCAGAGACCU